CGGUCGCCGAGCGGUCUUCCCCCCUCCAAGCUGCAGGAGCACCUUCGCACCGCCAUUCUCCUCUCAUCCCCGUGUGUGUGCCCUGUGCCCGUCAGCCCUGAGGGGAAACCCUGCUAGAGUCAUAUACUAACUGGUGUUUCUCAGCUUUACGAAAACCUCUGAAGUGUUCGUGAAUUUGCUGUAUCAGCCAUCUUUGCUCUUUCCUGAUGCUUUGUGCUCGGAAUUGGGUCACAUGCAAUUUUGCAACGGUACAGUAGUUUAUGUGAGAACUGUCCCUCCUCGACUUGCUUCCUCUGCAUCUUCAGUCUGAAGGCUAUAAAUAGAAAAUGCAGUAAGUGUGAGAGAACUGGACUGUAAUUCUGGAUAGAUGAGAAAUGAACUCUGACAACUAAGUUCAAACUAAGAACGAAUUAAACAAGUAAAGAUUUUCCAGAGCACAUAUCAGCACUCUCACGUAAGUCACUCUUGCCUCUCUGUAUGCUGUUCUUGUAAAACUUAGCAAUAUUAUUGUGCUAUUUUAUGAU
rnacentral:lncRNA from 1 species